AGAAGAAGAUACCAAGUUGUUUUAUCCUGUUUUUUGGGGAUUCAAAGGAAGGGCAGAGCAAGAAUCAUAUUGGUUGUUUUCACAUGAAGAAAUAAUUGUGGGUGAAAAGUGUAAAGAGGGAACCUUUUUUUUAAAUUACUGUACAUGAUCCAUGGGACCAAAAAAGGAGACGUGGAAUAUUGCUAAUCCUUGAUUACAAACAUCCUUCAUGGGGCCCUGAACUGGAGUUAGGUUAUCAAUAUCAGGUUGUCGGGCAGAAGCAGAUCAUAAUCGACUUCAAGUAAAUAUAGUAAAAGUAAUUUUACAAUUUAAUAGUUAAUGAAUUUCUUAAUAUAAAUACAUGAUUCGAAGGCUAGAUAUGUGCUUUGAACUCGAGCAAUUCUCUUAGUAUGCUUUACUUUGUCCGUCUCAA